UUGAAUGAAUUUAGAGUUGGUUGUCGCUGGCUGUCUUUUUUGGCAGCAUGUGCACGCCUUCUCUUUUCAUCCACACACCCCUGUGCACUUGUGAGACUGGAGGCCGUAAAAAAGUCUUCAGUCUGCUAAAUUCAUAUACAAACUCAUUUAAUUGAACUGAAUGUACUUGAUGUAACGCAUCAUUAAAC
rnacentral:misc_RNA from 1 species